AUGCAAGUCGAACGAUGAACCUCACUUGUGGGGGGAUUAGUGGCGAACGGGUGAGUAACACGUGAGUAACCUGCCCUUGACUCUGGGAUAAGCCUGGGAAACCGGGUCUAAUACUGGAUACGACCUUCCCGCGCAUGCGGUGUUGGUGGAAAGCUUUUGCGGUUUUGGAUGGACUCGCGGCCUAUCAGCUUGUUGGUGGGGUAAUGGCCUACCAAGGCGACGACGGGUAGCCGGCCUGAGAGGGUGACCGGCCACACUGGGACUGAGACACGGCCCAGACUCCUACGGGAGGCAGCAGUGGGGAAUAUUGCACAAUGGGCGCAAGCCUGAUGCAGCGACGCCGCGUGAGGGAUGAAGGCCUUCGGGUUGUAAACCUCUUUCAGUAGGGAAGAAGCUGAUUCCUUUUGGGGUUGGUGACGGUACCUGCAGAAGAAGCGCCGGCUAACUACGUGCCAGCAGCCGCGGUAAUACGUAGGGCGCAAGCGUUAUCCGGAAUUAUUGGGCGUAAAGAGCUCGUAGGCGGUUUGUCGCGUCUGCCGUGAAAGUCCGGGGCUUAACUCCGGAUCUGCGGUGGGUACGGGCAGACUAGAGUGCAGUAGGGGAGACUGGAAUUCCUGGUGUAGCGGUGAAAUGCGCAGAUAUCAGGAGGAACACCGAUGGCGAAGGCAGGUCUCUGGGCUGUAACUGACGCUGAGGAGCGAAAGCAUGGGGAGCGAACAGGAUUAGAUACCCUGGUAGUCCAUGCCGUAAACGUUGGGCACUAGGUGUGGGGGACAUUCCACGUUUUCCGCGCCGUAGCUAACGCAUUAAGUGCCCCGCCUGGGGAGUACGGCCGCAAGGCUAAAACUCAAAGGAAUUGACGGGGGCCCGCACAAGCGGCGGAGCAUGCGGAUUAAUUCGAUGCAACGCGAAGAACCUUACCAAGGCUUGACAUGAACCGGAAUGAUGCAGAGAUGUGUCAGCCACUUGUGGCCGGUUUACAGGUGGUGCAUGGUUGUCGUCAGCUCGUGUCGUGAGAUGUUGGGUUAAGUCCCGCAACGAGCGCAACCCUCGUUC
rnacentral:rRNA from 1 species